GAUGAACGCUGGCGGCGUGCCUAAUACAUGCAAGUCGAGCGAACAGACGAGGAGCUUGCUCCUCUGACGUUAGCGGCGGACGGGUGAGUAACACGUGGAUAACCUACCUAUAAGACUGGGAUAACUUCGGGAAACCGGAGCUAAUACCGGAUAAUAUAUUGAACCGCAUGGUUCAAUAGUGAAAGACGGUUUUGCUGUCACUUAUAGAUGGAUCCGCGCCGCAUUAGCUAGUUGGUAAGGUAACGGCUUACCAAGGCGACGAUGCGUAGCCGACCUGAGAGGGUGAUCGGCCACACUGGAACUGAGACACGGUCCAGACUCCUACGGGAGGCAGCAGUAGGGAAUCUUCCGCAAUGGGCGAAAGCCUGACGGAGCAACGCCGCGUGAGUGAUGAAGGUCUUCGGAUCGUAAAACUCUGUUAUUAGGGAAGAACAAAUGUGUAAGUAACUAUGCACGUCUGGACGGUACCUAAUCAGAAAGCCACGGCUAACUACGUG
rnacentral:rRNA from 1 species